AUCGCUUCUCGGCUCCUCGGAGCUAAGAUCAAGUGUAGUAUCUGUUCUUAUCAGUUUAAUAUCUGAUAUGUCUUCUACUUGAAGACUAUAUAUUAAAUUGAUUUUUGGAACAGAGAGAUGGAAUAGGAGCUUGCUCUAUCCACUCUAUGCAUUGACCUGGUAUUGCAGUGCUUCCAGGAAUGGUGCACCUCCC